AGUCAGUAUGGCCCUUACACCCGGGGCUGCACACGUGCUACAAUGGCCGGUACAAAGGGCAGCGACAUAGUGAUAUGGAGCGAAUCCCCAAAACCGGUCUCAGUACGGAUUGGAGUCUGCAACUCGACUCCAUGAAGAUGGAAUCGCUAGUAAAUGGGCAUCAGCUACGGCUCAUUGAAUACGUUCCCGGGCCUUGUACACACCGCCCGUCACAUCAUGGGAGCUGAGUUCACCCGAAGUCGUUGCGCCAACCUGCUUGCAGGAGGCAGACGCCGAAGGUGGGCUUAGUGACUGGGAUGAAGUCGUAACAAGGUAGCCGUUGGGGAACCAGCGGCUGGAUCACCUCCUUU
rnacentral:ncRNA from 1 species